GGGGUUGUGGCUCAGAGGUAGAGCACUCACCUAGCAUGUGAGAGGCACUGGGUUUGAUCCUCAGCACCA
rnacentral:tRNA from 1 species